CACGUAGGGUGCGAGCGUUGUUCGGAAUUACUGGGCGUAAAGGGCUCGUAGGCGGCCAACUAAGUCGGACGUGAAAUCCCCAGGCUCAACCUGGGAACUGCGUCCGAUACUGGAUGGCUUGAAUCCGGGAGAGGGAUGCAGAAUUCCAGGUGUAGCGGUGAAAUGCGUAGAUAUCUGGAGGAAUACCGGUGGCGAAGGCGGCAUCCUGGACCGGCAUUGACGCUGAGGAGCGAAAGCCAGGGGAGCAAACGGG
rnacentral:rRNA from 1 species